AUUGAACGCUGGCGGCAGGCCUAACACAUGCAAGUCGAGCGGCAGCACGGGGAGCUUGCUCCCUGGUGGCGAGCGGCGGACGGGUGAGUAAUGCAUAGGAAUCUGCCCGGUAGUGGGGGAUAACCUGGGGAAACCCAGGCUAAUACCGCAUACGUCCUACGGGAGAAAGCAGGGGCUCUUCGGACCUUGCGCUAUCGGAUGAGCCUAUGUCGGAUUAGCUGGUUGGUGAGGUAAUGGCUCACCAAGGCGACGAUCCGUAGCUGGUCUGAGAGGAUGAUCAGCCACACUGGGACUGAGACACGGCCCAGACUCCUACGGGAGGCAGCAGUGGGGAAUAUUGGACAAUGGGCGCAAGCCUGAUCCAGCCAUGCCGCGUGUGUGAAGAAGGCCCUCGGGUUGUAAAGCACUUUCAGCGAGGAAGAAGGCUUGGCGGCUAAUAUCCGUCAAGAAGGACAUCACUCGCAGAAGAAGCACCGGCUAACUCCGUGCCAGCCGCCGCAGUAAAAC
rnacentral:rRNA from 1 species